rnacentral:rRNA from 1 species
AUUGAACGCUGGCGGCAUGCCUAACACAUGCAAGUCGAGCGGAGCGGCGGACGGGUGUGUAAUGCAUAUGAAUCUGCCUGGUAGCGGGGGCUAACGUCCGGAAACGGGCGCUAAUACCGCAUACUAUCAGAUGAGCCUCGGUGGGGUGAGCUAGUUGGUGGGGUAAAGGCCUACCAAGGCGACGAUCCGUAACUGGUCUGAGAGGAUGAUCAGGCACACUGGAGCUGAGACACGGUCCAGACUCCUACGGGAGGCAGCAGUGGGGAAUAUUGGACAAUGGGCGAAAGCCUGAUCCAGCCAUGCCGCGUGUGUGAAGAAGGUCUUCGGAUUGUAAAGCACUUUAAGUUGGGAGGCGUUACCAACAGAAUAAGCACCGGCUAACUUCGUGCCAGCAGCCGCGGUAAUUC